UGCCUACGGGGCGCAGCAGUGGGGAAUAUUGCACAAUGGGGGAAACCCUGAUGCAGCGACGCCGCGUGAGUGAAGAAGUAUUUCGGUAUGUAAAGCUCUAUCAGCAGGGAAGAUAAUGACGGUACCUGAGUAAGAAGCCCCGGCUAACUACGUGCCAGCAGCCGCGGUAAUACGUAGGGGGCAAGCGUUAUCCGGAUUUACUGGGUGUAAAGGGAGCGUAGACGGUUACGCAAGUCUGGAGUGAAAGGCGGGGGCCCAACCCCCGGACUGCUUUGGAAACUGUAUAACUGGAGUGCAGGAGGGGG
rnacentral:rRNA from 1 species